rnacentral:rRNA from 1 species
CCCGCUGAACUUAAGCAUAUCAAUAAGCGGAGGAAAAGAAACCAACAGGGAUUGCCCCAGUAACGGCGAGUGAAGCGGCAAAAGCUCAAAUUUGAAAUCUGGCUCCUUUUCGGGGUCCGAGUUGUAAUUUGCAGAGGAUGCUUUGGGUGUGUCCGCGGCGUAAGUCCCUUGGAACAGGGCGUCAUAGAGGGUGAGAAUCCCGUCUUGAGUCGCCGGGCGCGCCCGUUUAAAGCUCCUUCGACGAGUCGAGUUGUUUGGGAAUGCAGCUCUAAGUGGGUGGUAAAUUUCAUCUAAAGCUAAAUAUUGGCCGGAGACCGAUAGCGAACAAGUAGAGUGAUCGAAAGGUUAAAAGCACCUUGAAAAGGGAGUUAAAUAGCACGUGAAAUUGUUGAAAGGGAAGCGCUUGCAGCCAGACUCGAGCGCGGAGGCUCAGCGGGCAUGUUAUGCCCGUGCACUCCUUCGCGCCCGGGCCAGCAUCAGUUUUUGCGGCCGGUCAAAGGCCCCUGGAAUGUGUCGUCCUCCGGGACGUCUUAUAGCCAGGGGUGCAAUGCGGCCAGCGGGGACUGAGGAACGCGCUUCGGCACGGAUGCUGGCGUAAUGGCUGUAAGCGGCCCGUCUUGAAACACGG